UACGUAGGGGGCGAGCGUUGUCCGGAAUUACUGGGCGUAAAGAGCGUGUAGGCGGAUUUUUAAGUCAGAUGUGAAAACUAUCGGCUCAACCGGUAGACUGCAUCUGAUACUGGGAAUCUUGAGGGUAUGAGAGGGCAGUGGAAUUCCUAGUGUAGCGGUGAAAUGCGUAGAUAUCAAGUGGAACACCAGUGGCGAAGGCGAGUCCCUGGACAACUCCUGACACUGAGGCACGAAAGCCAGGGGAGCAAAC
rnacentral:rRNA from 1 species